AUUAGUUGGAAUUUUGUCAUUUACUUUUAUAAAGAAAAAUACGAGCCAUGAUUCAAAAGUGAGCUGAUACAACCAAGUAUACGAGUAUAAAAACCCUUAGCGGUUUUAAUGGUUCAUUCAUUGUGCAUUGCAGAAGUUGUUCAAUACGCUACAAAGCAUCCAGUUUUCUACUUCAAAAAAAAAAAUUCAAUUCGAAUUUGAAGCUUCAACUCAUAAAUAAUGUACAAACCAGAGCCGAAACAACAAUCGCCCCACAAGGAAGCUGAGCAAAAACCAGCUCCAAAACCGCAUGAUGAUCAUGUACUGAAGACACGACAAUCACCCCCGAAAGAAUAUGAGCAUAAACCAACACCUAAACCAGAACCACCAAAACAGCCAUGUCAGCCAGAUGAACCAGAGCCAGCCUGUCCCCCACAAGAGCCAGCUUGUCCUCCACUGAAGCCAGCAUGUCCCCAACCGUGGCCAGCAUGUCCUCCACAGAAGCCAGCAUGUGCCCCACAGGAGCCAGCAUGUCCUCCACAGAAGCCAGCAUGUCCCCCUCAGUGGCCUGCAUGUCCACCACAGGAGCCAGCAAGUUCUCAACCACUUCCUCCGCACCAAUAUCCUUCACAACAAUGGCCAUCUCAACAAUGGACACCCCAACAAUAUGCACCAUGUCCCCCACAAGGGCCAGCAUGUCCGCCACAGUGGCCAGCAUGUCCACCACAGGAGCCAGCAUGUCCUCAACCACUUCCUCCGCUCCAAUAUCCCUCUCAACAUUGGCCAUCUCAAAAAUAUUCAUCUCAACAAUGGGCACCCCAACAAUGUUCACCGUGUCCUCCACAACAAUCACUACCACCAUGUCCACCACAGUGGGCAGCAUGUACCCCACAGGUGCCAGCAUGUCCGCCAUCAUGGUACUCUCCACCACAACAGCAACAACAUGGGUCUUAUCAACAUCACGGAUCACACCAGCAACCACAAGCUAAAACCAUCUAUAUAAAUAUGUGAAGAACGCAUUUCAUUUCUUUGAACUUCUAGGUUUUUAUUGUAUUUCAUCUAAGCUUUUUUUAGUCGAAUAUUUUAAAACACAUUAGUUCAUUUCUUCUCUUACAUAAAUAACCUAGGUACUUUUAUUUCUAUAUACCUUACUUAUCAAUUCUCUUUAGAGAUGCAUUUAUUCUAUAUUAAGCUUAUUUAAAUAAAUAUAUUACACGCAUCCAUAAACGA